rnacentral:rRNA from 1 species
AGCAGUGGAAGCAAUAUGUCCAUUGCCUGACGUUACCCCCCAGAGAAAGCUCCGGCCAACUCCGUGCCAGCAGCCGCGGUAAUACGGGGGGAGUAAGCGUUGUCCGGAAUCAUUGGGCGUAAAGGGCGUGUAGGCGGCUUGGCAAGUCGAAUGUGAAAUCCUACGGCUCAACCGUGGAACUGCGUUCGAAACUGCCUUGCUUGAGUGCGGGAGAGGUGUGCGGAAUUCCUGGUGUAGCGGUGGAAUGCGUAGAUAUCAGGAAGAACACCGGUGGCGAAGGCGGCACACUGGCCCAGCACUGACGCUGAGGCGCGAAAGCGUGGGGAGCGAACGGGAUUAGAUACCCCGGUAGUCCACGCUGUAAACUUUGGGCACUAGGUAUUGGAGGUCUCAACCCCUUCAGUGCCGUAGCUAACGCGUUAAGUGCCCCGCCUGGGGAGUACGGUCGCAAGGCUGAAACUCAAAGGAA